UGCAGUCGAGCGGAACGAUCCUAGCUUGCUAGGAGGCGUCGAGCGGCGGACGGGUGAGUAAUGCAUAGGAAUCUGCCCGAUAGUGGGGGAUAACCUGAGGAAACUCAGGCUAAUACCGCAUACGUCCUACGGGAGAAAGCAGGGGCUCUUCGGACCUUGCGCUAUCGGAUGAGCUUAUGUCGGAUUAGCUGGUUGGUGAGGUAACGGCUCACCAAGGCGACGAUCCGUAGCUGGUCUGAGAGGAUGAUCAGCCACAUCGGGACUGAGACACGGCCCGAACUCCUACGGGAGGCAGCAGUGGGGAAUAUUGGACAAUGGGGGCAACCCUGAUCCAGCCAUGCCGCGUGUGUGAAGAAGGCCCUCGGGUUGUAAAGCACUUUCAGUGAGGAAGAAGGCUUGUCGGUUAAUACCCGGCAAGGGAGACAUCACUCACAGAAGAAGCACCGGCUAACUCCGUGCCAGCAGCCGCGGUAAUACGGAGGGUGCGAGCGUUAAUCGGAAUUACUGGGCGUAAAGCGUGCGUAGGCGGCUUGAUAAGCCGGUUGUGAAAGCCCCGGGCUCAACCUGGGAACGGCAUCCGGAACUGUCAGGCUAGAGUGCAGGAGAGGAAGGUAGAAUUCCCGGUGUAGCGGUGAAAUGCGUAGAGAUCGGGAGGAAUACCAGUGGCGAAGGCGGCCUUCUGGACUGACACUGACGCUGAGGUACGAAAGCGUGGGUAGCAAACAGGAUUAGAUACCCUGGUAGUCCACGCCGUAAACGAUGUCGACUAGCCGUUGGGGUCCUCGAGACCUUUGUGGCGCAGUUAACGCACUAAGUCGACCGCCUGGGGAGUACGCCGCAAGGUUAAAACUCAAUGAUUGACGGGGCCCGCACAGCGGUGGAGCAUGUGGUUUAUUCGAUGCACGCGAGACCUUACCUACCCUGACAUCGUGC
rnacentral:rRNA from 1 species